rnacentral:rRNA from 1 species
GAGUUUGAUCGUGGCUCAGAUUGAACGCUGGCGGCAUGCCUUACACAUGCAAGUCGAACGGCAGCAUGAUCUAGCUUGCUAGAUUGAUGGCGAGUGGCGAACGGGUGAGUAAUACACCGGAACGUGCCCUGUAGUGGGGGAUAACUAGUCGAAAGAUUAGCUAAUACCGCAUACGACCUGAGGGUGAAAGUGGGGGACCGCAAGGCCUCAUGCUAUAGGAGCGGCCGAUGUCUGAUUAGCUAGUUGGUGGGGUAAAGGCCCACCAAGGCGACGAUCAGUAGCUGGUCUGAGAGGACGAUCAGCCACACUGGGACUGAGACACGGCCCAGACUCCUACGGGAGGCAGCAGUGGGGAAUUUUGGACAAUGGGCGAAAGCCUGAUCCAGCAAUGCCGCGUGUGUGAAGAAGGCCUCGG